rnacentral:lncRNA from 1 species
AUCUGAUGUAGGUGUAAGUGGGGAAGACAGUUUACUUUAAAAGCUGAUGUAAUCCACCAACACUCGAAUCACAAUAUGAAAUGAAAAUAGAUGUUCAGUUUUCAACAACUGUAAUAUAAUUAACUCUUAGUCUCUGUUUUUACCUAGCUACAGAAUCAACUGUUUCACAGUCCUGAGGUUUGUUUGGGGCUAUUUGCAGUUCAUGAUUUGAGAGAAUUGGAGGUGAGAUGAAUUGAGUGUAUAAUUAGUCCUUGAAGUUGAAGAGAGCAAGUGAGACACACCUUCUCACCUCCUCUUCUUUGUUAUUUUCUUCCUUUUGCUGUUUCCUGCUCCAUCUUUGUUCAAUGUGCCAGAUAAAAAAUAGGGUCAGUGAUAGGGCAGGAAGUGAUUUUUGUUCCUUUUGUUUCUUUGUUUCUCAAACUCAAGCUUUUGAUUGCAGGAUUUUAUCUUGCCAUUUGUUUUCGGCAGUAUUUUUUUAUUCCCCUUCUUUUCCUCUUGGUUUCCUAUUCUUUUGUUCUCUGUCUCUCUUAUCUUUCUUCCCCAUCAGUCCUCACGCCUUCUCUUCUUUUUUCCAGGUUAUGGUAUAAAUUGGAGAGUUAGGGUAUUAAUAGCAUGGGGAUGAGUAAAGUGUGUGUCUGAAAGAACUGUGUGCCUGUCCAAAAGUCUGGCAUCCAAGUAGAGUCACUGUGGUGCUGGGAGGUAAAUUAGAACUGGCUGAAGAGAGUGUCCAGGGGUGGGCUUGAGCUAUCUCCAGGUCUUUAGAGCCUGCAUGUAAUAGGUGGAGACUCUUGACAUCUCUGUAUCUCCAAUAGGAAGAUACAAAGACAUUAGAAGUACUGAUGGAGAAGGAGAGGUCCAAGGUUGGGUAAAGGCAGCCAUGAAUUACUGGGACAGUAGAGAGGACCACAGACUCUAGUAUUGCUAGCCAGCUCAGUGUCCAAAAAAAUCCAGAGGUACUAGCCACAACCCAGAGACACCAGAGGUGAACUCCAUGGACCAGACAACAUCAACCACACCACAUUAGGGAUAGCCAAAGGAUCCACCAUUCCCAGAAGAAUCCAGGAGGGAGAGGAGGGGGAGAGACCUCCCGAAAGAGGAAAAAUAGCUCUGAAGGAAUUUUGCAUUUAAAAUUCGUGAAACAUUUGCCCCAAAGACUGUUUUUGUUUUGCUUUUUUUAAAAUAAUGAUUUUUAUUUUUUUUCCAUUAUAGCUGGUUUACAGUGUUCUGCAAAUUUUCUACUGUACAGCAAGGUGACCCAGUCGCACAUGCAUGUAUACAUUCUUUUUUCUCACAUGAUCAUGUUCCCAAAGACUGUUUUUAUUUCAAAAAACACUGAAUUACUUUUAAGUGACAAAUUUAAGAUUUUCUCCUGCCAGUGGAUAAGCAGUAAGGUCCUGCUGUAUAGCACAGGGAACUAUAUCCAAUCCCUUUGAUAUAACAUGAUGAAAGAUAAUAUGAGAAAAAGAGUGUAUAUAUGUGUGUCUGGGUCACUUUGCUGUACAGCAGAAAUUGACAGAACAAUAUAAAUCAACUAUAAUAAAAAAUUGUUAAAAGGAAAAAAAAUUUUCUCCUGCCAUUAGCAAGAAUGGGACACCAGAACAAGAUGAAGGCAACUAUAGAGAGGAAAAGGACCUAGGCAUCUCUGAGUUGUGUGCAAAUUUCAAUCCUUCUUUUAGGGGUGUGUGUUUUGAAAGGUGGAAAUCAGUAUGUUAAUAGAGGUCAACUCUGAAUGGUGGAAUAAUUGUUUUAUUUUUCUUUUUAUCAUCCAACAUAUAUUUACUGAAUAUUUACUUUAUGCCAAACAUGAUUCUUUGCACUUAUCUUUCUUAAUUUCUUCACAAUCAUACAAUUUCUAUGUUUUGCUCUUGUAAGGAGGAAAGCAUAGUUCAAUGCUAUUUUAAAAAAAAUAUCUCUUCAAUCCACGCAUUGUGUGUUUUUUUUUUUUUUUUUUUUUUUUUUUAGUUUUUUGUUUUUUGUCUUUUUAGGGCUACUCCUAUGGCAUAUGGAAGUUCCCAGGCUAGGGAUCAAAUCAGAGCUGCAGCUGCCAGCCUACCCCACAGCCAAAGCAACACUGGAUCCUUAACUCACUGAGCGAGGUGCUUUUUUAAUCUCCAUUUUUUUUCAGAAGAGAAAAAAAAAAAAAUGAGGCUCAAAGAGAGGAAAUAGGAGUUCCUGUUGUGGCUCAGCAGGUUAAGUACCUGGCAUUGUCUCUGUGAGGAUGUGGGUUCAAUCCCUGGUCUCACUCACUGGUUUAAGGAUCUGGUGUUGCCACAAGCUGUGGUAUAGGUUGCAGAUGUGGCUCCUCACAGAUCUGAUGUUGCUAUGGCUAUGGUGUAAGCCUCAGCUGCAGCUCUGAUCCAACCUCUAGCCAGGGAACUUACAUAUGCUGGAGGUAUGGCAGUAGAAAAAGAGAGCAAGAGAGAGAAAUGAAGUAACUUGCUUAACAUUGCAGUUUGCCCGUGGAAGAGGCUGAAUGUGCAGUCUUCUCAAAGUACACUCUCUAUAAUUAGAAACCACAUUGAGAUUAUCAUAUAUACUAAAAAUCUUUGUAAUAUAUAAAUAUGGCAAAAUUAGUUGCCUUCUAAGAUGGAAUCUAUUUUUUUAAAUGCAAGAUUAUUGCUUCAGGCCAACAUAGCCAUAUUUUUUUACUUAAAUGGUGACAUCCCACAGAUUAAACUAUUCCUCAUUUAAUUUUAUAUGUCUUAAAAUGAAUCAAUAUC